UCGAUUUAGAUUCACCACCCACUGGCGCCCUCACAUCUCACCGCCGGUGUCCCCCAAGCCGCCUUCCCCCCACCGUCUCCGUCUCCCCUCCCUUCCCUCCCCUCCCCUCCUCAGAGAGGAGACGGAGAUCGACCAGCCAUGGCGGCGGCCUGGCGGCAGCUAGAUCUGCGAUGGCCGUAGCCACCUCUCCCUCCUCGCUAAGGCUAUAGGCUUUGCCGGUGUGUGACAGGAGGAUUUCUUCCUCCCGUUGCUUCUGCUCGGCCGUGCGUGAGGAGAUGCCAUGGACGCUGAUGUACCUGCACCACGAACUCUAUGCAAGGAGAGGAGUGGGGGUGCUGCAGGGAGGAAAGGGAAGAACGGGAUGCACCUGAGGAGCGAGCGUUUGCCAUCUUGGUUCCUGUUCGACCACGUUGCUUAUGGAUGGUGAGAAGAAGGAAGGUGCUGCAAGUGCCAGGGGAAGGGGUCGGAUGCUACUGAAACCCUUGCUGUGAGGGUCUCUGUAUAGACCGAGCACCUACGGGUGAAAUGGACGUGAACCUUCAGAAAUCAAAUGUUUGGCGCCGGCGCGGCUCCGCCGUCUGCUGGAUGGUGCUCCUGGAACAAGACGGCCCGGAGGCCCUCCUCUCGCAGGAUGUGCUGAUGCGGCGCAUGCAGCAGCAUGUUUGGGACGAGUGCGAGCGCGAUGGCCUUGUCCCGAUGAUGACGGCGGCGAACAUCGGUGCUCCUUCUCGUCCUCUAUCUCCAAGGACGCGUGCCGGUACAGCUCGGGCAACCCUGCCCCGAACGCCGACCACCCAUCUGGCGAUGUACAAGUCGUCCUCACGCGUGUGGAUUCGCCUCCUGCUGGACUGAACACUUGCAAUGUGGACAUGGUUUGGCAUCUAAUCCAUGUUACUGGAGACUGAAGUUUUUUAGCAUGAAUUACUUGGGUCUGGAAGCUGCCUUCAAUCGUUGUUGUUGGAGAUUAAAAUUAGCUAGCAGUGCAUUUUCUUUUAAGUCAUGUAACUCACUCUUUACAAAAAAACUUAUAGCGCUUUCUAGAUGUGCUUGGGAUGUUUUGAUAUUAGCUUUGCUUUUUCAAAUCAGAUUUGAUUGUUGGAAAUCUGUAUUGUCAUGUAAACUAUUGCUAUUUUUUGAAGGAAUAUAGUUUGGUUGUCUUGCUGCAAA